UGAACUAAAAGAAACAUACAGUAAUUCUUAAACCCAGUCUUCGAGGCCAAAUACAGAUUCGACUUCCUUUUCCACUCACUAGUGCUAAAAUGUUUAUUUACCAAGACGGUAAAAACAUAGACAACGACAUUUACUCCGCAAUUAUCUGGAGUUCUUACAGAAUCCCAUGGCAGAUAUUGUUUAUCUGUCAUAGAAAAUUAUUUGCUGUAUUUGUCAUCAAACAAGAUGAAUGAAUAGUGACUAACGUUAAAUCAUUUUAGUGUUAUCUCGGUUUACAUCAAUUAUGUACACAUGGAUGAUUUUCUUGAAUAAAGUUUCUCGAAUGAAAUAAAUGCUCCCGGAGUUUUGAAAAGUGAGCAGCGGUUUGCAAUGAACGGCAUGAAUUUGCGCGUUUAUCGAUAAGACAUUAAUGGGUGAGCAUUUAUUAUCAUUCCCUUCUCCAUUUGACAUUCAUGAAUGUUCGGUGUUGGGUAACACAGUCCCGCGAGCUGCAAGUGCAACGCUGUGAUCCAAUCCGAAUUCCAAUAUCCGAAAUUAGAUAACGACGUAAUACAUCAAAGCUCUAUUGAUUUUUUCAGCGCCUUCACAGAAUGGAAACACCAUUUGUGAAUAGCCCUAGGUUGGAAUAUUAUGUAUUGCUUCGUUCCAGUGAUAACCGUUAAACGUGCGUGCAGCAUUUGUAUCUAAUCACAUUUUGUUUCCAGUCCGUCUAUUCCCGAUAGAUUAGGAUUGUCAGAAAUCUAUAACUACCGCGAGAUAAGCCAUAAAAUCAAUGCCGUCAUAUUUAUUAUAAUAACUUCAGCCUGAAACACCCGCUUUGUUUGCUUUAUCGUCCAUCCAAUUAAUUGUUUUCUUAAUGAUCCCUCAUUAUUCCAGCAUUCAGUGACAAUUCGUGACGUCACGGAUCACGUGCUUCCUUUCAAUACAUCCAUAAAAGUAAAUAGAUGUCGGCUGGGCAGAGAAGGAAUUGAAUCGCUGAAGGAUUAGGACACUGAUGGAAUAAAGGUUUAGAGAAUGGUUUAUUCACAUACUGACUCACGGCACAAAGAUAUUGAAAAACAGAAAAAUAAUACAAACUAUUGGUAUUGGUUUUCGUUUUCUAUACAUCUGACAGUAAAUUAUUAAGAUGAGUUAUCAGUAUAUUUAUUCAAAACAUACAUCAUAGUAUAAAGUUUUCGUGUGUGCGUAGAAAAAAAAAUAACGAGAGAUACUAUCUGCCUUCAAAGUUUUCUUUAUUUAGAGGUUAAACAGCAGCAGACGUCAAAUCUCGCACCACACGCGACAAAACGUUUACAUGGAGUACCAUAUGGGAACAAUUUAAUUGGUAGAAGAAAUUGUAAGAACAAUGUCUGCGGCGGAGAUUUAUUUAUGUCGUUUGUCUUCAUCGAAUACCAUUCUGAGAGCGUUCUUAGUGUCAAGAAUAGAUUUACAUCGUACUAAUCCGUGGUUGUGACGCCGAGCUGAGAAGAGAAUUAUUUCUCGUAUAUGGAAUGAGGGACGCGAAUACUAGAAAUUGUAACAUUUUAUUCCAGUUUGGAACCGAGUGUGAACAGAAUCACACUAGGAAAAAGCAAAACUUUAAGAAUAUUUCGAGAAUGGAAUCACUAGGAUGAUAAGCUAAACCGCUUUUAAGGAACAGUUGAACAAUGGGGAUGUUAUAUUUCUAGAAAUAUGCCGUAAACAUGAAACAUGACAGCAAGAUAAAAAGCAAUGAAGACCAAAUUUCUCAUAGAUGACCUAAGAUGAAACAAGAUUUUAAGGCGGUACAGAACCAUAAACCAUGACAACGAAAUCUGCAUAUAAGAAUUGAUGCCAUACGACGAUGUAACAUUGUUUUUAAACG
rnacentral:lncRNA from 1 species